GUACACUCCUACGGGAGGCAGCAGUGGGGAAUAUUGGACAAUGGGCGCAAGCCUGAUCCAGCCAUGCCGCGUGAGUGAUGAAGGCCCUAGGGUUGUAAAGCUCUUUCACCGGUGAAGAUAAUGACGGUAACCGGAGAAGAAGCCCCGGCUAACUUCGUGCCAGCAGCAGCGGUAAUACGAAGGGGGCUAGCGUUGUUCGGAUUUACUGGGCGUAAAGCGCACGUAGGCGGACUAUUAAGUCAGGGGUGAAAUCCCGGGGCUCAACCCCGAAACUGCCUUUGAUACUGGUAGUCUUGAGUUCGGGAGAGGUGAGUGGAAUUCCGAGUGUAGAGGUGAAAUUCGUAGAUAUUCGGAGGAACACCAGUGGCGAAGGCGGCUCACUGGCUCGAUACUGACGCUGAGGUGCGAAAGCGUGGGGAGCAAACAGGAUUAGAAACCCGGGUAGUCCCAUGA
rnacentral:rRNA from 1 species